GACGUAGGGCGCGAGCGUUGUCCGGAUUUAUUGGGCGUAAAGAGCUCGUAGGCGGCUUGUCGCGUCGUUCGUGAAAACCUGCGGCUCAACUGCAGGCUUGCGGUCGAUACGGGCAGGCUGGAGUUCGGUAGGGGAGACUGGAAUUCCUGGUGUAGCGGUGAAAUGCGCAGAUAUCAGGAGGAACACCGGUGGCGAAGGCGGGUCUCUGGGGCCGAUACUG
rnacentral:rRNA from 1 species